GACAGAGGUGCCGAGCGUUAGGCGGAAUCACUGGGCUUAAAGCGUGUGUAGGCGGGUCGUUAAGUGCCUUGUGAAAUCCCACCGCUCACCGGUGGAACUGCUUGGCAUACUGGCGAUCUUGAGCCACUUAGGGGCAACCGGAACAAACGGUGUAGCGGUGAAAUGCGUAGAUAUUGGGAGGAACACCGGUGGCGAAGGCGGCCCUCUGGACCGGUACUGACGCUGAUGCGCGAAAGCGUGGGGAGCAAACGGG
rnacentral:rRNA from 1 species